GCUCUCGUGGCGCAACGGUAGCGCACUAGACUUCUAAUCUAGAGGCUGCGGGUUCGAGUCCCGCCGGGAGUA